rnacentral:sRNA from 1 species
CAAGCUUGUGAGGAGUUAGGGAAAAGUCCGGCGAUCACCCCCGCGACAGUUCCAGUCAGACAUUUCGAGAAAAGGAAAAGUGGAAUUUCCAUGUGGACUGUAAGGACCAAGACGGCAUCAUAUUGUUUGAUCUCCCGUGGAAUCUGAAGCCCUGGCUCCCAUGUAUAUACAACGCUGCUGUGGAAUGGCCCGGGCCGCAUGUGCCAAAGCCAUCCAAAAUAGAAGCGAAGGAUCCCCACGGUUAAGUAACGUAAGGAGCAACGCCCUAUCUAGUAAGGGCUGCUAUCGAGAAAGAAAAAGAAAA